CUAUUGGCUGGCCUGCGCAAUCUUAUUUGCAUAUGAUUAUUUUCCGCCGGAUCCCUGGAGGAGGCGGGUGGCGGUGAUUGACGGCGCGUUGCUUAGCGACGCGAGGCAGAGGUGGGCUCUUGCGUCUGCGACUACUGAAUGGAGUCAGCGCCCACCGAUGGAAGCGCCGAGUACUGGAUAUGUGGAACAGCUUCUCAGCAAGAACAGUUGAUGCCGUGCCAAUUAACACUCUCGCAACGGAGCUGCAUGAAUAUCUGGCUCAGAAAGGACUGGCCAUUACAAAGCGCUCCACAUCUGACAACG